AGCUGCAGUAACAGACGCCCCAGCUACUUCACCAGUCCUACAGCUGCAGUAACAGACGCCCCAGCUACUUCAUCGGAUCCAUCUAGUUCAGCAACAGGGGUUCCACCUACUUCAGCAUCUCCGGAUCCCUGUCAUUCAAAUCCAUGUGGUGUUGGAAGCACCUGUGAAGCCCGUGCCAACCACACAUUUGUAUGCAAGUGUCUUCCUGGUGAUUUUUACAAUAAUAUCACCCUGAGAUGUGAAAAUGCCAAAGUUUUCCCUGGAAAACUUUCCCUGAGAAAACCAUUUAAUGAAAAAAUGAAAAACACCACAUCAAAGGAAUUUAAAGAAACUGCAGAUGAAAUUGUUGCUGCGGUAAGUAAUCAGUUAGUACUCUCUAUCAAUAAAUGU